AAUCUAAUUUAAUUUUUUAAUCAAAUUAGAAAUUAGGUUGACCCAAGUCCUAAUUGAACUAGGAUUAGUUUUUUCUUGCACUUGGCUUAUCCAAUAAAUCAAUUGAACUUGAUCCAAUCAACCCCAAACCAAAUCUAAUUAAAUCAUAUUCAAUUAGACUUAAUCUCAGUCCAUUGGUUUAAUCAAAUUAAGUCAAUUAGCAAUCAAAUUGCUAAUCGAUCCUCUUGCAACACUUGCACUAGGUUAAAUGUCAAUCGUGUUGAUCGUUUAACUCUAGAACGAUUCUUAAUCAUUGAUCAACCAUC
rnacentral:lncRNA from 1 species